rnacentral:rRNA from 1 species
AGUUUGAUCCUGGCUCAGGACGAACGCUGGCGGCGUGCUUAACACAUGCAAGUCGAGCGGAAAGGCCACUUCGGUGGUACUCGAGCGGCGAACGGGUGAGUAACACGUGAGUAAUCUGCCCUUGGCUUUGGGAUAGCCACCGGAAACGGUGAUUAAUACCGGAUACGACCACUUCUCGCAUGGGAUGGUGGUGGAAAGUUUUUCGGCCAGGGAUGUGCUCGCGGCCUAUCAGCUUGAUGGUGAGGUAAUGGCUCACCAUGGCUUCGACGGGUAGCCGGCCUGAGAGGGUGACCGGUCACACUGGGACUGAGACACGGCCCAGACUCCUACGGGAGGCAGCAGUGGGGAAUAUUGGACAAUGGGCGGAAGCCUGAUCCAGCAACGCCGCGUGAGGGAUGACGGCCUUCGGGUUGUAAACCUCUUUCAGCAGGGACGAAGCGCAAGUGACGGUACCUGCAGAAGAAGCACCGGCCAACUACGUGCCAGCAGCCGCGGUAAUACGUAGGGUGCGAGCGUUGUCCGGAAUUAUUGGGCGUAAAGGGCUCGUAGGCGGUUUGUCGCGUCGGGAGUGAAAACCAGGUGCUUAACACCUGGCUUGCUUUCGAUACGGGCAGACUAGAGGUAUUCAGGGGAGAACGGAAUUCCUGGUGUAGCGGUGAAAUGCGCAGAUAUCAGGAGGAACACCGGUGGCGAAGGCGGUUCUCUGGGAAUAUCCUGACGCUGAGGAGCGAAA